AAGUCGUAACAAGGUUUCCGUAGGUGAACCUGCGGAAGGAUCAUUGUCGAAACCUGCAAAGUAGACCCGUGAACAUGUGUUUAACAUAAACGGUGCCUCGAUGUAGGUGCUCAAGCCCCUCGUUGAGAGCCCCGCGCCCACUUGACGCUUGCGUUUAGUGGGCUAACGAACCCCGGCGCGGCAUGCGCCAAGGAAAACUUAAAGAAGCGUUGCCCCCACGACGCCCGCUUGCGGUGCGCUUGUGGGGAUGCGACGAAUCUAGAAAGUCAAAACGACUCUCGGCAACGGAUAUCUCGGCUCUCGCAUCGAUGAAGAACGUAGCGAAAUGCGAUACUUGGUGUGAAUUGCAGAAUCCCGUGAACCAUCGAGUCUUUGAACGCAAGUUGCGCCCGAAGCCAUUCGGCCGAGGGCACGCCUGCCUGGGCGUCACGCAUCGCGUCACCCCCUCCCGAUCCCUCGGGAUCUACGAGUGGGGUGGAAAUUGGUCUCCCGUGUGCCUUUGUGUGUGCGGUUGGCCUAAAUAUGAUCCUGCAUCGACGGAUGUCAUGACCAGUGGUGGGUGAAAGCUCAGUCUUGCUGUCGUGCGUCAACCCGUCGUAUGACACGGAAUCAAGUCGACCCAAUGGUGCUAAAUGUGCCUCCGACCGCGACCCCAGGUCAGGCGGGAUUACCCGCUGAGUUUAA
rnacentral:rRNA from 1 species